AGCGAACGCUGGCGGCAGGCUUAACACAUGCAAGUCGAACGUGAAAGUCCUUCGGGAUGAGUAAAGUGGCGCACGGGUGAGUAACGCGUAGGUGACCUACCUUUUAGCGCGGGAUAACCUUAGGAAACUGAGGCUAAUACCGCAUAGUCUUAUUUUAAUUGAAACGAGAUAAGUAAACGAUGGCCUCUACUUGUAAGCUAUCGCUAGAAGAUGGGCCUGCGUAGCAUUAGCUAGUUGGUGGGGUAAUGGCCUACCAAGGCGACGAUGCUUAGCUGGUCUGAGAGGAUGAUCAGCCACACUGGAACUGAGACACGGUCCAGACUCCUACGGGAGGCAGCAGUAGGGAAUAUUGCGCAAUGGGGGAAACCCUGACGCAGCAACGCCGUGUGAGUGAGGAAGGCCUUCGGGUUGUAAAGCUCUGUCAGUGGGGAAAAAUGGCUAGUAAGCGAAUAGGUUAUUAGAUUGAUGGUACCCACAGAGGAAGCACCGGCAAACUUCGUGCCAGCCGCCGCGGUAA
rnacentral:rRNA from 1 species